CGGGGUGCAGCAGGCGCGAAAACUUUACAAUGCUGGCAACAGCGAUAAGGGGACCUCGAGUGCCAGGAUACAAUCUUGGCUGUCGCGAUGCCUAAAAAGCAUUGCAUAGCAAGGGCCGGGCAAGACCGGUGCCAGCCGCCGCGGUAACACCGGCGGCUCGAGUGGUAACCGCUAUUAUUGGGUCUAAAGGGUCUGUAGCCGGCCGGAUAAGUCUUUUGGGAAAUCCAGCUGCUCAACAGUUGGGCUUUCAGAAGAUACUGUUCGGCUCGAGACCGGGAGAGGUGAGAGGUACUUCAGGGGUAGGGGUGAAAUCUUGUAAUCCUUGAAGGACCACCAGUGGCGAAGGCGUCUCACCAGAACGGAUCUGACGGCAAGGGACGAAAGCUAGGGGCACGAACCGGAUUAGAUACCCGGGUAGUCCUAGCCGUAAACGAUACUCGCUAGGUGUCAGCCACGGUGCGACCGUGGUUGGUGCCGUAGGGAAGCCGUGAAGCGAGCCACCUGGGAAGUACGGCCGCAAGGCUGAAACUUAAAGGAAUUGGCGGGGGAGCACAAGGGC
rnacentral:rRNA from 1 species